rnacentral:rRNA from 1 species
GAUGAACGCUGGCGGCGUGCCUAAUACAUGCAAGUCGAGCGAACAGACGAGGAGCUUGCUCCUCUGACGUUAGCGGCGGACGGGUGAGUAACACGUGGAUAACCUACCUAUAAGACUGGGAUAACUUCGGGAAACCGGAGCUAAGACCGGAUAAUAUAUUGAACCGCAUGGUUCAAUAGUGAAAGACGGUUUUGCUGUCACUUAUAGAUGGAUCCGCGCCGCAUUAGCUAGUUGGUAAGGUAACGGCUUACCAAGGCAACGAUGCGUAGCCGACCUGGGAGGGUGAUCCGCCACACUGGAACUGAGCCACGGUCCAGACUCCUACGGGAGGCAGCAGUAGGGACUCUUCCGCAAUGGGCGAAAGCCUGACGGAGCAACGCCGCGUGGGUGAUGAAGGUCUUCGGGUCGUAAAACUCUGUUAUUAGGGAAGAACAAAUGUGUAAGUAACUAUGCACGUCUUGACGGUACCUAAUCAGAAAGCCACGGCUAACUACGUG